CGCGGGUCCGGGGGCCGCCAUGUUGGGAAGGUCGCGGCCGUUCCCGCCUGAGGGGAGCGGGGCCUCGGCAGAGCGGGAGCGCUGCAAAAACCCUUUUGUGGGGAAAUUCAGGGAAAAGCGGCUUAAAAUAGAUAUUUUUAAGCCAUGUUUCUAGCGGAAAAUCCACUCUGAAAUGGAAAUUGCGAAAAUAGAAACUGGACCCCCACGUCUGGAAGCCAAACCCCACCACCUGGAAUACAUAUCCUGAAUGUAUAUCCUGAAAUAUUGAAAUUUAAAAUAGACUACAACAGAUAUUGAAUAAUGGAAAUUACAUAUAGAUAUCCUGAGUGUAUAUCCUGAAAUAUUGAAAUCUAAAAUAGACUACAAUAGGUAUUGAAUAAUGACGUUAAAAAUUGGGAAUUGAAACUGCUGAGAAAAGCUUAUGAAUAUGUAUGAAUAUAGCAAAUAAAAUCCCAGCAAGUCCAGCAGUGGGUGUGGAAAGGAAAAUCCUUCCACUGUACCCAGCACUGUCUCUGCUCACACUUCAUUAAUUAAUGCUAAUUAAUUAAUUAAUAAAUUGAAUUGCUGCUUGAUAUAGUGGCCGUGUCAAGCGUCUGGUUUCUAACACGACAAAAGUGCAAAGCAGGGUGAGAUAAUCCACAUUUAAAUCCUCAUCCAGGUGUGCUGACCAUGUCAGCACUGAGAAAACUCCAGGAAACCCCAGUGGCAAUAAUUAUUGUGAUUUAAUUGCUAUUGUGACACAACUUUAACUCAAACACUGGUGUUGUAACUUCUGAUUUAACAUCUCAACCUGCACAGAAAACUCUUAUUCCAGGCUGAUUGUGUCCAUCAUGCACAGAACAGGCAAUUCCUCUUAAAUAUGUGGGAAAAGUGUCCCCAAGAGUUGCGUGAACUACUUGAAUCAUCCUGAGAGAGAGACAGGGAGAGAAAAAUAUAAAUUCUGAAGUUCAGUGUAAUUUUCAGCUUGUUCUAAACAGCUUUAAGCAUUUUUGCUUUCUCCUAUUAUAUUAUCCAAUUAUAUUAUCUCCAGUGUGCUGCUGUCUCCCUGCUGACAUUUCCCAAAGGAUUGUAGGAGCACUUUGCCUAUCCCUGUAUUUCCAGCUAUUAAAAUUAAUACAUUUUAAUUAAAAUGUAUUAAAUUAAAAAUACUUUUAAAUUAAAAUUAAAAAUACUCCAACAUUCAGCAGUAAAUGCAGGUGAACUUUUGAACAUUUGGGUCAAGAAUUUCCACCAAAGAGCUCCCUCCAUGGCACAGGAUUGUGGCCGUUCCCAGGCCAUGGGAAAUAUGGAAAAUUCCAUAUUUCCCUCAUUUUUCUUACACAUUUCUCUCUUUUAGUGCCAGUCACAGCUCGAAGACAAAUGCUGACACUUUGUUUGCACAGAGAAAAUUUCACACUUGGUUUACUUUAGCUCAGUGGUGAAUGCAUCAGACUUUAAAUUGAAAAAUUCCUUUUGAUUGUUUCUCCUGAGAGAAAACCUAAAAGGAACACGGCAAUUUUAAAGGCCUCUGUUUUAUUUUCAAGUAAUUAAAUAUUUUUAAAUGAAAUUAUGUGGAGCUUAAACAAACAAACCAAAAAAGAGAAAAAAAUAAUCAAGGAACAAGGUGCUUUCUUCCCAGGAUCCUUUUGUGGUCUGUUGAGGUGGGGAAGCCCUAAAAGGCUCCUCUAAGGAGUGUUAGAAAUGAGACGCUUGACAUGGCCAAUAGAUCAAGCAGCAAUUCAAUUUAAUAAUGAAUUAAUUAAUAUGGUAAAGUGAGCAAAGACAGCGCUGGGUACAGUGGAAGGAUUUUCCCUUCCGACUGCACCCCGAUUUCUGGACUUGCUGGGGUUUUAUUUGCUAUAUUCAUACAUAUUCAUAAGCUUUCUCAGCAGUUUCCAUUUCUAGUUUUAACGUCACAAUUCAACACUUAACAGUCAUAAAUUCAUAUUUUGUCCUGUACAAUUCUAUAGGCUAUUGUGAUCUAUUUCGAUAUUUCAAUAUUUCAGGAUAUACAUUCAGGAUAUGUAUAUGUAAUUUCCAUUAAUCAAUACCUGUUGCAGUCCAUUUUAGAUUUCAAUAUUCCAGGAUGUACAUUCAGGAUAUGCAUAUGUAAUUUCCAUUAUUCCAUACCUGUUGUAGUCCAUUUUAGAUUUCAAUAUUCCAGGAUGUACAUCCAGGAUAUGUAUAUGAAAUUUCCAUUAUUCAAUACCUGUUGUAGUCCAUUUUAGAUUUCAAUAUUUCAGGAUGUACACUCAGGAUAUCUAUAUGUAAUUUCCAUUAUUCCAUACCUAUUGUAGUCCAUUUUAGAUUUCAAUAUUUCAGGAUGUACAUCCAGGAUUUGUAUUCCAGAUGUGGGGUCCAGUUUUAUUUUCCAGGCCCAUCAAUCUCCGAUAGUGAUUUUUCAGUUUCCCUCUUCAGGAGCCAUCAAUCAGUGAGCUGAAAUCUUUCUUUUGGUCCAGGAUGCUUUCCCACCUUCUGUGAAAGGCCUGGGCCCCCUUCUUAUUUCCUUCUUUUGCCUAAAAGCCUUUUUACAUUCUAAAACUGCAGUUAAAAAUUAAUACAAAGUAAGCUUCUAAAGUUAUAAUUAACAGACGCUUAUUCCAGAAUAGCUUGAGACUUAUAACAGGUAAUUGCAAGCAAAAGAUUUUUUCAAAAAUUUCCUUCCAUGCUUUCCUUGGUUAUUUAUUAGAACUCAUCUUUAGAACUGUCCCAUGGCCGUGUUCUACAAUUAUAAUUACACAGAUUCUUUUGAUUUCCCUGACACAAAACACAACUUUGUGUUUCACAGGAGGCACCAAAAGAAGCAGAAUUCCUGAAUUCCCAUUCCCAGAAACCACUGGAAAAUUACACACAGGGCUCUGGCACAACUUCCUGCAGGAAGCAGUGAGGCAACAGUGGCAGCAGAGCACAGGAAACUCCAGCACAACAAAAACUUAAACUUAACUCCCUGCAAGGCCUGACACACAGAACACCACGAAUCUCCCCAUGCUGUAAAAAAGUCUCAGGGCUGCUGUUCCCUGAGAUUCUCCUGGGGGCUGCUGUUCCCUGAGGUAAAUGAGGUUUUCUGUCUUCUCUUUGCCCUGAGUGUUUCACCCCGGAGCCAGAGCAGCCAGGCUGAGUCCCCAGUCCGAGUUUCCAGGGUUGUUUAUUCUCCAUCAUCUCUCAGUUCUGUCCCAGCUCUGCAGGGCGUCCCCAGCAGAGCAGGACACGCGGGGGACUGGGCGGGUCAGAGGGUCCCGGACCCUUUGUACCAUUCCCUGGCCCAAACACAUCCAAAAUGAACUUUUUAUUGACAGAAUCUUACCAAUACUCACUGCCUAUGUUAACAUGUCAUUUCUACUCUAAACCAAUCCUUGUGAUCCAACUCAGCAGAAAAUGGGGGAUGAGAACAAGAACAAGGAGCACAGGGACCACUCCCCAAUUCCUCCAUCUCGCCUCUUCAAACCCAUACACUAAAAAUCCUAAAUUCUACAUUCACACUCUGUGAUAAACUAACUACUGCUUAUUUUGAAUUCUCUCGGGUUGUGAUUCUUCACACACUGUGGGCAUUCACUCCAUGGCAGGGAUCAGAGGCAGUGCCCUCCUGGGCUCUGUGUGAGGCUGCCUGAGCCCCUGGACAGACCCCAGACCCCCUGUCCGGUCCCCAAACCCUCCAGGGCGGCCACAGGGAUGUCCUGGACUCUGACAAAAAAGGCACCUCCAGCUUGCAGAUUCCCCUCACAAAACUCUGGGUGGAUUUGGGCACAGCAGGAUUUAUUCAUCAUAAGCUCAGCCUAGAUCCUGCACCCCAGAAAAGCCCAGAACCAAACUCUGAGAGGUUGGAAUGAAGCAGGAAUAGCUGCAAGUGUCCCCCUGCAGCUGUGGGGUCACAUCCACAGAAGUCGGGGCAGCACUUCUAAGCAAAUCCAGCCAUUUGAAAUCCAAACUUUUCUUUGGAGAUGUCUCUUGGUCUUUAUGAUCCAUCAGGGACCCGGAAUUACAUGCAAAAUUCAGCUGAGAGUUGAUUUCUUGGCUGGAGAUGCUGAACACAGAGGUGCAGGAGAUCUGUGCCUUCAGCAGGCUGUGACUGGAGGAAAUAGCUGCGAGCUGCUGCGACCAGAGGCUUCCUGGUGGGUGGUGGGGAAGGCAGAACUCGAGAGAAGGCCGAGGAGGAGGCGUGGGUGAACAGCUCAGAGCAAACCGGAGCUGCCAAACCACAUCCCUGCGUCACCAGGGCAGGGCAGCAGCUCACAGCACACACAGGAAACCCGGGGUGUCCCUCCUGAGGACCGGGGUGCUGCUGGACACUGUUCAGGGUUGGACUUGGAUUUUUGUGGGUGUCCAGGACAUCCCUGUGGCCACCCUGGAGGGUUUGGGGACCGGACAGGGGGUCUGGGGUCUGUCCAGGGGCUCAGGCAGCCUCACACAGAGCCCAGGAGGACACUGCCUCUGAUCCCUGCCAUGGAGUGAAUGCCCACAGUGUGUGAACAAUCACAACCCGAGAGAAUUCAA